UUUGACUCAACACGGGGAAACUCACCAGGUCCAGACACAAUAAGGAUUGACAGAUUGAGAGCUCUUUCUUGAUUUUGUGGGUGGUGGUGCAUGGCCGUUCUUAGUUGGUGGAGUGAUUUGUCUGCUUAAUUGCGAUAACGAACGAGACCUUAACCUACUAAAUAGUGGUGCUAGCAUUUGCUGGUUAUCCACUUCUUAGAGGGACUAUCGGUUUCAAGCCGAUGGAAGUUUGAGGCAAUAACAGGUCUGUGAUGCCCUUAGACGUUCUGGGCCGCACGCGCGCUACACUGACGGAGCCAGCGAGUCUAACCUUGGCCGAGAGGUCUUGGUAAUCUUGUGAAACUCCGUCGUGCUGGGGAUAGAGCAUUGUAAUUAUUGCUCUUCAACGAGGAAUUCCUAGUAAGCGCAAGUCAUCAGCUUGCGUUGAUUACGUCCCUGCCCUUUGUACACACCGCCCGUCGCU
rnacentral:rRNA from 1 species